AAUUAAACGCAUAUGGACACAUGAGCAGUUUGGGAAAUUGAAACCCUACCAAACUCCCAAAGAAUGAUGGUAAGAGCAACACCGUCAAGUCAUGAUCGCAACCUCGCUCGACCUCAAACUCACACCCGUCGCCGCCGCCGCCGCUUGACCAUAACCUUUCAUCCAUUCGCAAUGUCAGAAGUUUCGCCCUAUCCUCACACACAACUUCUCUCACUCUCAAUCUCCCUCGCCUAAGUAAGUCAAUGAGAAGAUUGAUAUAUUCAACCUUGCAGUUAUACUAUUGGAGCUGACAAUUGGUAAAGAAUUGAUGGGCUCUCAUCUCUUGCAGAGUGGACAUGUUGUAAAUAUAUACCUUUGUUUCAUUUUGAAAGCUUUUGAACUGCCAGCAUUUGAAUCUGGUUCAAGUCUUUUUGGUAGUGUUUGUAAGUCUUUGUCUCUUGAGUCGUGAUUGUGGAUGCAAAUGUACACAUGUUUGUGCAAAUUUCUCCCAAUACUGUUUUGGAGGAGGUCUUGUGCUUUUCUUUAUCUUGGUGGUGUUUUCUUGAUGCAGGUUUUAAGUGCUACUCUGUGAUUACAAAGGGUAGGAAAGGGGUAUAAUGAAUAGAUGUCGGGGGCCUUUGAUAUAUAUUUACCUUACUGUAGGAGGUCUAGCAGAAUUUGUGGGGAAUUUUCUUUGUAAUGGUCCUUUGUUUUGUGUUCGGCUUGUGUAACUUUAGCAGCAGCAUGUAUACACUCCUUGUGUUACAUAUCUGUUGGUUUAUAAAUAAUAUCUCUUUGGCCUUUAGAAAAAAAAAGGGUAUUUUAUCUUCA